CUUGCUCACCAAGCUUGGGCAGCCUCCCACCAAGGACUGAGGUCCUGCCCCUGUGGCCUGAGCCGAGAUCCUCCUGUACCUCUCAAACUCACCCCUCUACUAGCCACCUCGGAUGGCAGGCGGGGGCCGGAGUAGGACGGUGUGGGCAGGGGACCCUUCCCUUCUCACCCGUCCUGGAGGCAGAGAAGACCAGGGUGAGGCUGACACGGAGCAGCACAUGUCUCUGGUCGUCCCUGCCACUGCUCUGCCAAUUCCAGGGCACCUCCCACGUGCCACUGACCACAGGGCCGCACUGAGAAGGCGGACAAGGCAAGGGGAGGCCAGAGGGGACGGUAGGCUGUGGAGGGGGAGGCCAGGCUGAGGCUCCCAGGAGGCAGCCCCCGGGGGUGGGAUUGGGGGAGCAGGAAGGAAGGAGCUGGGGCCUCUGAGGGAGCUGGGUCCCAGGGCAGAGUGGCUGGAUGGGGAGCUGGGGGGAAGGCCAGCAGGGCACCCCAGUCAGAGCCUGGGAGAGCCUGGGAACCCAAAGGCCCAUCACAGAGGCUGGGAGGCAGAUAGGCCUGCCUGAGACAGAACUUAGAAACACGUGCCUGAGCCAGCAGAGCGCCGGACUUGGGGACCGCACCCCGAGGAUGCAGACUCCAGACAGCAUUUCCUGGGAGGUAAACUGAGGCCCAUGUCCAGUAAGUCAAGAAACUCAGCCAAGCACCUUGAGGCUAACGGCCAAGUGACUGAGGGCCCCAAUUUACCUGCCCUGGUAGCUUCUGGCAAGAGACCUCCACCGCCUCCCUUCCAGGACAUGCCAGCCUGCAGGCUGCUGUGCCGAGAAGGAGAAGACCAGGCGGUGGUGAUGUCAACCAGGGAAUUAAGUAAGCAGAGGAGCCGAUAACAUCACCCCGCAAGGCUUGCUGUGGGCAAGGUGACUCAUCAAAGAUGGGGCCCCACAAUCACAGGGUGAUUGUUGUUGUGCCCAGUCCGUAGGAUGGGGGAGGAAGAAGGGGGCCGGGACAGGCUCUUCAGCGAGUCCUCUGCUCAGUGGAGAAGCCCCAGAACACAGUGUCCUCUGCCUUCAAAGCUCACAGCUGGCUCAGGAAACAGCCCUCCCUCCCACUGUUGUGAUAAUCUGUCUACAGCGUUUGGUGUGUGUUUGUGGGGUGCACUGGGGUGGUUUCCCCACCCCCAUCCCACUGGGUGCUCCAGGUACCGGAGAUCACUAACAGCACAACUGUGGACCACCGUCUGGGGAGGCAGUGCCACCGGAUGGCAGACCGCUAACCGCGACCACGUGGCGUCCUCGUGGGUCGUCAGGUACGGUUGUCCAAGUUGAGAAGUGAACUAGAGGGAUCGCCGCUUACUGUGUGCCAGACCUCAUGUCUCCCUGCCGACAAGCAGCACAAAUGUCUGCGGAGCAGCGAGACCAGCCCCACGUGGAUCCAGGCACUUGGGAAAUACCGGGGAAGCCCAAAGAGCCCUGCCCUCCCCGGGGCCAACAUUCUCCUAGGGGGACACGGAGGCUCAGCUGACCACCCUUGGGGAGGAAGGAAGCCUGAGGGUGCAACCACUCUCUGCCCCACCUGCCUCAGCCUGCUGGAGGCCACCAGAACUGCCUGCCAGACCCUUCUGAGGAAAUGGGAGUCAGAAGUUCAGCUGGCCAGGAGUGGACCUCUCCUCUGAUAGAAGCCCUCCCACACGCCUGGACACAAUGCAGAGCACGGGGCCUCUGAGCCAACAGGGCAAGAAAUUCCUAGGGCCUGCCAUGGUCAAGGAAUCAGAUUUUCCUCAUUUAACCAAUGGCUGUUGUCCCUGCCAUCAGCUAUUAGCAUAUCAGAUUAUUAUGUCAGGUGUUUAUUCUUUUGAUCCCAUGGUUCAUGUGCCAGUAAAGAUGUCUUUAGUGGUCA